GACGAACGCUGGCGGCGUGCUUAACACAUGCAAGUCGAACGGAAAGGCCCUGCUUUUGUGGGGUGCUCGAGUGGCGAACGGGUGAGUAACACGUGAGUAACCUGCCCUUGACUUUGGGAUAACUUCAGGAAACUGGGGCUAAUACCGGAUAGGAGCUCCUGCUGCAUGGUGGGGGUUGGAAAGUUUCGGCGGUUGGGGAUGGACUCGCGGCUUAUCAGCUUGUUGGUGGGGUAGUGGCUUACCAAGGCUUUGACGGGUAGCCGGCCUGAGAGGGUGACCGGCCACAUUGGGACUGAGAUACGGCCCAGCCUCCUACGGGAGGAAGCAGUGGGGAAUAUUGCACAAUGGGCGGAAGCCUGAUGCAGCAACGCCGCGUGCGGGAUGACGGCCUUCGGGUUGUAAACCGCUUUCGCCUGUGACGAAGCGUGAGUGACGGUAAUGGGUAAAGAAGCACCGGCUAACUACG
rnacentral:rRNA from 1 species